CAGGGUAUGGCUUAGUUAGCAGAGCAUUUCCUUUACACUGAGAAGAGAUCCGUGCAAUUCGGGUUGCCCUGA
rnacentral:tRNA from 2 species